AGCGAACGCUGGCGGUAGGCCUAACACAUGCAAGUCGAACGGCAGCACAGGAGAGCUUGCUCUCUAGGUGGGGAGUGGCGGAGGGGUGAGGAAUACAUCGGAAUCUGCCCAGUCGUGGGGGUGCAAGUAGGGAAACUGACGCUAAUACCGCAUACGACCUGCGGGUGAAAGAGGGGGAUCGCAAGACGCCUCGCGAUUGGAUGAGCCGAGGUCGGAUGGGCUAGUUGGCGGGGUAAUGACACAAUAAGGCGACGCACCGGAGCUGGCCUGAGAGGAUGAUUAGGCACACUGGCAGUGAGACAGGGUCCAGACUCUGGCGGGAGGCCGCAGUGGGGAAUAUUGGACAAUGGGGGAGAGCCUGAUCCAGCCAUACCGCGUGAGUGAAGAAGGCCUUCGGGUUGUAAAGUGAUUUUGUUGGGAAAGAAAUAUUUCAGGCUAAUACCCUGGGAGAAUGACGGUACCCAAAGAAUAAGCACCGGCUAACUUCGUG
rnacentral:rRNA from 1 species